rnacentral:lncRNA from 1 species
UAUGAUUUUCAUGGUGAUGAUGACAGUGAUGAUCAUUGUCUAAAUUCUGGAGACUUAUGCUUUCAUGGUCGCAUUUUUCAUUGUAUUUAUGGAUGUGAUCAUGAUUGUGGUUAUGCUCAUGGUGAUGUUCCUGACUAUUCUCAUGGGUAUGUUCAUGUUGGGAUACGUGAUCGUCAUUCGUAUAGCCCAUUUUCUGGGCUUCAACAUUAUCUUUUUCUUCUUCAAACUCUUCAAAAAUAUUUAUAUCAUUUGUAGUGUUAGGCAGACACAUACUAUGAUUACUAUGGGAAUGAUGGUGAUGAGACCCAUGAUCAUGAUUAUGCCCAUGAUUGAACGCUAGGAUACCUACCAAAUUCACAACAAGGCCCAAAAAACUAACCAACAACAAUUGGUCGGUAUUCAUUUGGGGCGGAUGAAAUAACCUAUAUAAUGCCUCGCCGACGAUAGAAAAUGAAAUCAAAACUAAAAAAAUACCAUUAGUGAAACCCGAAAGAGCCUCAAUUUUUGCAAAUCCAAAGGGGUAAGCAUAAUUUAGAGGCAUCUUGGCAAGCGUCGUAGCAACUAAACCGACAAGAAUAGCAAUACAGUCAAAAGCCAUGUGAAUUGCGUCUGAAAUAAGCCCCAAAGAAUUUGUCCAAAGACCAUAAAUAACUUGCACAAACAUAUAAGAAACAUUUAAAAGGAAGAAAUAAAAUAUGCUUCUUGACUCUUUAUCGGCAAGCACUCCAUUCACUAUGAAAUCAUUGUAAAGUCGGUAAAUACGGCUGUUGUCAGGAAGCUUCAAGUUUGCUGUUAUAGAAGAACCAAUUUUAAAGAAGCAAAAUCCUACUUGAUAGAGGCAUGAUAUGAUCUUGAUAGAAUUUUGAGAAGCUGUCUUGUUAAUAAUGGCAGAAAUUAGGGCCAUAAUUAAAGAAAUAUCGAAUUUUCCCAAGUAAAAUUGAAUUCUGGCAAUUCCAUCCCAAUUGAUGCAAAAAAUUUGCAUAAAACAAAGAAUGGUAAAACGAGUGACUGAUAGAUUGAUUGUUCCAAGCGGAAGGACAUUAAAUUGAAUGAGACAAGCCACAACGAUAGAAGAAAAAAGGAAUGCCAAUUCCUUCUUUUCAAACUUCUCUUUGUUCACAAGGUAAAAGACUCGAAUGAAGACACCAAGAAGUAUAUAAAAAACGCUGGCAUAAAAAACGGAAUAAGAACAUUGGAAAUAACCCAACAGUAUUAGGAUAUGAUUAAUGACAAAAAGACAUAUUGGAAAUGCUAUAUAGUUCUUCAAAUUAGCAGAUCUGGCAUUAAAUGGUGUAGGAUCGUUACGAAUAAAAAAUAAUUUGAAAGCUAGCAAUAACAAACAAGUCGUGUCUAGAGUUCCAAGUACAAAGGCACCUAAAGUUAUGAAUACCAUCGAUAAAGAAGCGAUUAUUACAUUUAAUAACUGAAAAGGUUGGAACGAAAAUGAAUAGAUGCCCAAAUAUUGAGUAGUAAAGCUGACAAAAGCAAAGAUGCCAAAAAUAAGGUAAAAUGGAAUCGACAUGGUAUUGACUUCAAGACCAGAACCAGUAAUGGAGAAUGCACAAAUUACAGAAAACCAUCCUAGUGUUUCAGAUGAUAGCAAAGAUUUACUCGAAAUGAGCGAUAACAAAUCUUUUUUUUUAGCUGCAGCAAUUGAAUCAGAACUUGUCUUUUGGUCGUCUUUUAAAACAGGAAAAGAAGGGAACCUAUUGGUUCUCUCGAACGCAGAAGAAUUAACAUUCAUUUUUGUCGUCAGGAACACCCAAAAGCUGUGGUUGACUAUUAAAAAAUUGAAUGAUUAACAAAACUUAACUAAAGAAUAAAGAAAACAAAAUAAAGAGUAAUCCUGUUUUGAAAUUUAAAUCCUGAGUUGGAUGUGAAAGUGC